GAGUUUGAUCUUGGCUCAGAUUGAACGCUGGCGGCAUGCCUUACACAUGCAAGUCGAACGGCAGCACGGGAGCUUGCUCCUGGUGGCGAGUGGCGAACGGGUGAGUAAUGCAUCGGAACGUAUCCUGGAGUGGGGGAUAACGUAGCGAAAGUUACGCUAAUACCGCAUAUUCUGUGAGCAGGAAAGCGGGGGACCUUCGGGCCUCGCGCUCUUGGAGCGGCCGAUGUCGGAUUAGCUAGUUGGUGAGGUAAAGGCUCACCAAGGCGACGAUCCGUAGCAGGUCUGAGAGGAUGAUCUGCCACACUGGAACUGAGACACGGUCCAGACUCCUACGGGAGGCAGCAGUGGGGAAUUUUGGACAAUGGGGGCAACCCUGAUCCAGCCAUGCCGCGUGAGUGAAGAGGGCC
rnacentral:rRNA from 3 species